AUCAUGGAGAGUUUGAUCCUGGCUCAGAACGAACGCUGGCGGCGCGUCUUAAGCAUGCAAGUCGGGCGGCGAGGUGGUGGCUUGCCACCACCCUAGAGCGGCGGACUGGU
rnacentral:rRNA from 1 species